AGCGAACGCUGGCGGCAGGCCUAACACAUGCAAGUCGAACGAACUCUUCGGAGUUAGUGGCGGACGGGUGAGUAACACGUGGGAACGUGCCUUUUGGUUCAGAAUAACUCAGGGAAACUUGUGCUAAUACCGCAUGUGCCCUUCGGGGGAAAGAUGUAUCGCCAUUUGAGCGGCCCGCGUCUGAUUAGCUAGUUGGUGAGGUAACGGCUCACCAAGGCGACGAUCAGUAGCUGGUCUGAGAGGAUGACCAGCCACACUGGGACUGAGACACGGCCCAGACUCCUACGGGGAGCAGCAGUGGGGAAUCUUGCGCAAUGGGCGAAAGCCUGACGCAGCCAUGCCGCGUGAAUGAUGAAGGUCUUAGGAUUGUAAAAUUCUUUCACCGGGGACGAUAAUGACGGUACCCGGAGAAGAAGCCCCGGCUAACUUCGUG
rnacentral:rRNA from 1 species